GACGAACGCUGGCGGCGCGCUUAACACAUGCAAGUCGAGCGAAGCGGCGGACGGGUGAGUAACACGUGAGUAACCUGCCUUAGACAUUGGGAUAGCCUCGGGAAACCGGGAUUAAUACCAAAUGGUCUAAGAUGGACUCGCGUCCCAUUAGCUAGUUGGUGGGUAACGGCCCACCAAGGCGACGAUGGGUAGCCGGCAGGUGAGGAUGAGCGGCCACAUUGGAGCUGAGAGACGGGCCAAACGCGACGGGAGGGAGCAGGGGGGAAUAAUGCACAAUGGAGUGAACUCGGAGGCAGCGACGCCGUGUGAACGAAGAAGGCUUUCGAGUCGUAAAGGGCGUUUAUAUGAGGAGCGGUACCUUAUGAAAAAGCCCCGGCUAACUACGUGCCAGCAGCCGCGGUAAUAC
rnacentral:rRNA from 1 species